AUGCUAUGGUCUUUGCUUUCUCAUAAUAUUUGCUUAGAUCUUUGUAUUUCAAAUUCACCCUCCACCAUGCCAUGCUUAAGCUUACCUCAGCUAAAAUCAGAAACACUGUGGCAUGUUUUGCUCAUUCUGGAUGAAUACAGAUGGCGCUGUGAGAACAACCCAGGAUUGAAGCUCUCGUUGAAUCCGCGGAGAGGUGAGUUGGAGCUGCAUUUCCAGACUGAUCUUUGUUGUCCACAGAAUGGGGAAAUUCCCAAGCAUAAAGGAGACGCGGGACGCCAGGCAGUAACUCUGCCUGGCGAAGCCGGCAGCCGGAGUGGCGGCGGCCAGCCCUACCCAGCGCUCCCCACAGGGCGCGCUUGUCCGGGUGCCCUGUUGAACCAGCAACCUGAGACAUGAGAGGGCUGGACUUGAGACUGACCGAGACUUGGACAGUGGGCCAGCCCAGGAGAUUGCAGGGACAGAGCGUUUGGGGUAGCCCAGUGGGACGGACAAAAUGGUGAUUCCAAAUGCUCCCCAUGCAGACAGUCUGAGAUGCUCUGUGGGGGAGGGGCGUCCACCAUUACCGAGGCAACCCGCCCCAACUGAGAUACACGCCCACUGCUGACACAGCCAGCUGUUGCUGAGGCAACCCGUCCCUACUGAGAUACACGUCCACUGCUGACGCAGCCUGCCAUUGCGGAGGCAACCCGCUACAACAGAGAGACUCCGCCGCAGGGCGUAGCCGGUGGCGGAGACCACAGCAGAACAGCAGAGCCUGCAGCAACAGGGUGAACCACACAACAGCAGGGCGGAGCCUCGGCAGGCAAACAGUGUCUAGUCUGCCUCCUAGCUGGGCAGGACACCUCAACGGACAUCAAAAAUAAAGCCCGAACCCCCAACACAGAGCAUUUGAGAAAAUAAGGGUUUUUUUAAUGAGCUCUGUUGCAGCAGAAUCAAACAUAGCAGCCUAACAGCCCUGAACGAACAACAGAGCUCACAGCUCAGCAAUUGAGUUCCUAUGAAGUACAGACUGUCUCCUCAAGCAGCUCCCUGACCCCUCUAUAUCCAAAAGACUGACAUUUGGUAGACAUCAUCCUGGGACAAAGAGAGCAGAAAAAGAAACUGGUAGCAUCCCUCACUGUGCCACAGCUGCUAUAGGUGCACCCCAGACAAGAAGGGCCUGGAGUGGACCUCAGCAGUCGUACAGCAAAGGGGCUAGACUGGUAGAAGGAAAACCAAGUAACAGAAAGACCUCAUCAUCAACAAUCUGGGUGUCCACUCAGAGACCCAAUCGAAAAGUGAGCAACUACGCAGAUGACAAGCAGAUAAAUCCACAAAGAUGGGAAGAAACCAGCGCAAAAAGGAGGAAAAAAACCCGAAACCAGAACACCUCGCCUCCUAGAAAGGACCAAAACUCCUCACCAGCAAGGAAACAAAGCUGGACAAAGAAUGACUGUGAUGAAAUGAUGGAAUAAGACUUCAGAACGUGGAUAAUGAGAAACAUUUGUAAGCUAAAAGAACAUGUAUUAAAUCAAUGCAAAGAAACUAAGGAACUUGAAAAAAGAUAUGAAAAAAGAUUUGAGGAAAUGAUAACAGGAAUGGAUAACUUAGAGAGGAAUAUGAAUGAAUAAAAGGAGCUGAAAAACACAAUACUAGAACUUCGCGAAGCAUGCACAAGUUUCAAUAGCCAAAUUGACCAAGCAGAAGAAAGAAUAUCUGAAGUUGAAGACCAACUCAAUGAAAUAAAACGAGAAACCAAGAUUAGAGAAAAAAGCGCAAAAAGGA
ensembl:lncRNA